rfam:Myotis davidii contig186888, whole genome shotgun sequence.
GAGACACCCUUAUGGGGCAGAACUUGCUUCAGUGGGGCUUUGGUGCUCACUGAGUCUGCCCCUUGAGUGUGUCGCU